rnacentral:rRNA from 1 species
CAGCCGCCACGGUAAUACGUAGGGUGCAAGCGUUGUCCGGAAUUAUUGGGCGUAAAGAGCUCGUAGGCGGUUUGUCGCGUCUGCUGUGAAAUCCCGAGGCUCAACCUCGGGCUUGCAGUGGGUACGGGCAGACUAGAGUGCGGUAGGGGAGAUUGGAAUUCCUGGUGUAGCGGUGGAAUGCGCAGAUAUCAGGAGGAACACCGAUGGCGAAGGCAGAUCUCUGGGCCGUAACUGACGCUGAGGAGCGAAAGCGUGGGGAGCGAACAGGAUUAGAUACCCCCGUAGUCCCUGUCUCUUAUAC